AUAGAGAGAGAGAGAGAGAGGGGGGGAGACAGCGGUAAUUGUAUCCACUUUUAUAGACUGUAGUAGGGAAGACGAGAAGAAGAAAGAAGAGACGCGAAACCGAUCGAAGAAGAAGAAGGAUCGAAGGAUUUCUUCCCCUCUGCUGUCCACUCUCCUACUCGCCCUUUGGUUCCGCAUCUCCGGACCUCUGGUUAUGGUGCACGAUAACGCCGCCGGCAUGAAAGAGGCGGCCGUCGUCUCCUACUCGGACCGCGCCCCUGUGAUGGCCCUCCCUGGAUGCGCCGCCCCUUCGUCUGAGGACGUCGGAAAGAAGACCCGCAAGCCUUACACGAUCACCAAGUCGAGGGAGAGCUGGACCGAGCAGGACCACGACAAGUUCCUCGAGGCCCUGCAGCUUUUUGAUCGAGAUUGGAAGAAGAUAGAAGCAUUUGUUGGAUCAAAGACAGUCAUCCAGAUAAGAAGCCAUGCUCAGAAGUACUUUCUGAAGGUUCAGAAGAAUGGUACAAAUGAACAUGUGCCACCACCUCGACCCAAGCGAAAAGCAGCUCAUCCAUAUCCCCAGAAAGCUGCAAAAAAUGCAGUUACUCAGAUUCCUGAAGUCAAAACUCUACUUCAGACUUCCUGCCUACUUGAACCAGGCUAUGCUUCCACAGGAGAAACAUCAUCAAUACUUGGAGAUUCCACAACUAUAACAGGGUCUUCUUGGGUUCAGAGUUCUGUCCAGCCUGUUGGGACAUGCCAUCCAAUAAAAGAUGAUAAAGUAAAUGUUGGAGUUAUGAUGGCUAACAAUUGUUGUUCUAGCAGCAGUGGGAGUCCUACAACUUGGCCAGCUUGUGAAACAACUGAUCAGGAAAAUCAAUUCACAUCUCUUCAUGUUACGCCGGACUUCGCUCAGGUGUACGGCUUUCUUGGCAGUGUGUUUGAUCCUAAUACAAGUGGGCAUUUGCAAAAAUUAAAGGCAAUGGAUCCAAUCAAUAUUGAAACAGUAUUGAUAUUGAUGAGGAACCUGCAUCUCAAUUUGACUAGUCCUGAGUUUGAGGCCCAUAAAUUAAAAUUUUGGUCCGUCCUACUUUCUAUAUCCUGUUGUUGCACAAGAUAUAUUGAUAUUUAAGCAGGGAAUCCACUGGCAAAUGAUUGAAUUUUCAGCUGGGGGGGCACUCUGAUGCCAACCCAUUAUGUUGCACUAUAAUAGAAGAUUACUUACAGCAUACGGAGGUGGCACCGAAGAAGCUAAAUCAGCUAGUACUGGUAACAUGUAUCAUUCAACCACAGCUCUGAAUUCUCCACUUGUGGUUCAAGGUGAAUGAAUGUUACAUAUUCUAGUCUCAAGACGACUGGUGAUGCAUGUAGAGCUAGCUCCUUUCCAGCCAUGGAGAGCGAGACAGACGAUGUAUCUCGACGGAGUUGUUAGAAUGGUCCUUGUACAGCUGAAGAGUCAUAUCUCUGAGGGCUCUUCUGAUUGUAUAUAUCAGUCUCAGGGAUGCAGAGACCAGCCCAUCUGAAGUACAUGCCAUCACCUUCUGUACCUGUUCAUGCAGUUCUGUUUGCAGGAUGCCUAGUUAGGAAGUUUUCGUAAAGCACGUGUCGUCACGAAGGAAGUGUUUGUGUCUGUUUGCAGGAUGCCUAGUUAGGAAGUUUUCGGAAAGCAUGUGUGUUGUCAUGAAGGAAGUGUUUCUGUUUGUUUGCAGGAUGCCUAGUUAGGAAGUUGUCGUAAAGCAUGUGUUGUCAUAUAGGAAGUGUUUCUCCGUCUUCUGUUUUUUGCAAUUUUGUUUGGAAGUCAUUAUGCCACCUCCUA